rnacentral:rRNA from 1 species
AUUGAACGCUGGCGGCAUGCCUUACACAUGCAAGUCGAACGGUAACGCGGGGCAACCUGGCGACGAGUGGCGAACGGGUGAGUAAUACAUCGGAACGUGCCCAGUAGUGGGGGAUAGCCCGGCGAAAGCCGGAUUAAUACCGCAUACGACCUACGGGUGAAAGCGGGGGACCGCAAGGCCUCGCGCUAUUGGAGCGGCCGAUGUCAGAUUAGGUAGUUGGUGGGGUAAAGGCCUACCAAGCCUACGAUCUGUAGCUGGUCUGAGAGGACGACCAGCCACACUGGGACUGAGACACGGCCCAGACUCCUACGGGAGGCAGCAGUGGGGAAUUUUGGACAAUGGGCGAAAGCCUGAUCCAGCCAUGCCGCGUGCGGGAAGAAGGCC